UAAUACCAGCGGUCCGAGUGGGACUCACAUUUAUUGGGCCUAAAACAUCCGCAGCUGGUUUUGUAAGUUUCUUGUUAAAUCAUCAGGCUUAACCUGAUGGCUGCAAGGAAUACUACAAAGCUAGAGACUGGGAGACGUAGCGAGUACAGUAAGGGUAGUGGUAAAAUACAUUAAUCCUUACUGGACUAACAAUGGCAAAGGCACGCUACGAGAACAGCUCUGACAGUCAUGGAUGAAGGCGAGGGGCGCAAAACGGAUUAGAUACCCGUGUAGUCCUCGCUGUAAACGCUGCCUACUAAACAUUGUGAUCUCUUCGAGAGAUUGCAGUGCUGGAGUGAAGACGCAAGUAGGCUACCUGGGGAGUAUAGUCGCAAGGCUG
rnacentral:rRNA from 1 species